GGCCAUAUCGUGUUGAAACACCAGUUCCCGUAUGAUCAUUGAGAUUAAGCAACACCAAGCCUGGUCAGUACCUAGAUGGGUGACAACUUAGAAAUACCACGUGCUGUAAG